rnacentral:lncRNA from 1 species
AAUGCUGCUAAAAAUCAUGGUAGCUAUAAGUAAGAGCGGUGGAUAGGAGGAGAGCAUAACCUGUUAGUCACAUAGAUUUCCAAGAUGAAGGUCGCAUGCAUUCUCUUAGCUACCAUCGUCUUCUCUCCCCUGUCCACUUGCACUGCUCGAGUAUUGACCAAGCGAGGUGAGAUUUUAUUUCCAUCAUUAACUUCAGAAAAGCAGUUCAUUUUGUGUGUGUAAUCUCUGCAUGUGUACGCCGGCUUUUUUCAUGCACACAACUUUUUGUUAUAAAACUGAUGAGUCAACCUUUACCUUUACUUCCAGCAUUUUAAUUAACUAGAGAUAAUCAUUUCAUGUUAUAUGUUAUUUAAUUAAUCUGUCGUGGGCUAUCUUAUAAAAAAAUGAUUUUCAAAGGUGGUAACUCCAUUUAAAAGGUAAGAAGAAAACUAGGUCCUUUUCAAAGUCAUUGUAAGACCUAAUAUUGCUUGGGAUUUUCCGAAGGCUUUGUAGAAAAAGCCCUUAAUUCUAUUAAUUAAAAACCUUUCACCAUGUAUAUAUUUUGAUACUAGUUUAAUAAUUGCCAUGAUUCAAUUCGCUGUUAUCUUAACAAGCUAACGUGUGUAUACAUGUGUGCAAAUCUUUCAGCUAUACCCAGCCCAGGUCUUAACCGAGGCAAAGUUCCAUUCAAUUGCGGUAGGGGUAAGCGAUAUUGCGUACCUAGCCAACCACCAAAACGUUGCCCUCCUUACAAGCGUAAUUGUGGGCGGCGCCUUUAAGAUUAGAAGCAAGCAAAGUUGAGUGCUUAAAAGUAUGGAGAGCUUCUGCUGUCUUUAUCAAUAUGUAAAAUGAUGAGAACUAUUUAUGUGCGGAAAAUAAAUAAAAUAUCUCUAAGAACAUUACUAGAGUUCGGGUCCAUGGUAGCUAUGACUUCUAGAUUGUGUACUAGACGACCACUACGUAAAUGCAUGCAAAAACUAAUCAUGAGACUGAGAUCACAAAAUAACACUUGCAAGUAAAACGCAAAAUAAAAUUAUAGCUAAUAAAAUAAAAUAAAGAAAAUAAUUUUUUUUUAAUUAUUAUUAUCUUGGAAACUAAGUAAUGACAUAUUAAACCAGGAAAAUGCGCAAGCAAGCAGUGUAAGUCCUCUAAAUGCACACAAGUAAUCCAAACAUAAUGUUUCAAUUUUCCCACUAAUUUAACCAAGCUCCACAAUUAAUUAAGAGGAUUAGAUCUUCAAUGCUAAACAAGCUCAAAAUUAAGGUAAUUCAAUGUAAAGGCGGGCUAUAUAAUUUAGUUAUGGGCAAGCACAAAGAAUAAUAUCAAUGCUAAAUAUUGGUUAACAAGUUUAAAAGCAUACCAGGAAUGAUGAUUUUCAAUGGGUAAAAAUUCUGACUGUAUGAUGUGGCAGUGAAGGAUUACGUGGCAGCUGACAUGGUAGGAUAUGCUGGCGUGGCAGGAUACGCUGGCGUGGCGGGAUACGUUGCCUUGGCGGGAUCUGAUGACAUGGCAAGAACUGAUGUCGUGGCAGAUGACGUGGUGCUGACGUGGCUAGGGUAAUUAUUUUACCAGCUUCUGUUUCCUUCUCCUCUAUAUCCUUAGGUGUUGUUGCUGGCGGCGCACGCGUGACUGCUGAAGGCGAGGACCACCGCAGUCUGUUGAAGAUGGUGGUUGCCGCCGGUCGGUUCUACUGCUCUGUCGGUCGCUAAUGGUGGGAGGCGAUGAUGGUGUUGUGGACGGUUGCUGGCGCUGAGAAGGACGACACUGGCUGAGGCGCUGCCUUUGCUACUGUAAACCCGAAUCGAUGUUGGCUGUGAUGGGUGUUGUGGGUAGCGGCGUCUGGUGGUUUGUGGUUCUGCUUUGGCUGCUGAAGCCGCAGGUCUGUUGUGGUUCUGUGAAGGCGCCGCUGAAAUGGUUUGGUGUGAUCUAUCAGCGGCGUGGAGAAUGGCCUCCUGUAGGAGAAUCUGUCAUCGUGGGUCUUGGUGUGACCGGCGUUGAGGCAGAGUUUCCGGUCGAUGUUGAUGCAUGCUGUAAUCGACGUCUUCCAGAUUUGUUGAAUAUUGCAGCAGAGGGGAAGAUGAACAGUGUUUUUUGUGAUCAGAACAGUAGGUGUUUUUUUUUUUUGAACAGUGAAUUUUUUUUUUUUAAGAUCAACUGGAUCUAGGGUUUAGCAUAACAUUGUAGGUCAUUUAAUUGUAAGAACAAUUAAAACCCUAGCUCUAAUACCAAAUUUGAUGCGGAACAAUAAAUAAUAAAAUUAGAGCAAGCACAUAAAGAAGCUGUAGAAAAGAAAGAAGCUGAAGAAGAGAAGAAAGGGGAUUGGAGUUAUGCAAAGUCUAUAAUACUUUCAUUAAUCAUCAAAAAUUGUCUCUCAAGAUGACAGAAGAACAUAUAAAUAGUAAACCCUAAAACAUCCCGUUAUUGGGCUCGGCCCAUCAAAUCAAACUAUUUAGCAUAAAUAAUAAAAUAACAAUGAGCAGGCCCAAAUGAGCUAAAUAAAUAAAAUAACAAUGAAAUAGGCCCAAAUAGGCUUAGUCUCCCAACCAAAGCGUGACAGGUUGGGCCAUCCUAUAUCUUCUCUGUCCAUAUACUCGUGUAGUUUAUGGUGGGGUCUGGUGUCCCCACCACCAGCUUUUUUCAUGCACACAACUUUUUGUUAUAAAACUAAUGAGUCAACCUUUACCUUUACUUCCAGCAUUUUAAUUAACUAGAGAUAAUCAUUUCAUGUUAUAUGUUAUUUAAUUAAUCUGUCGUGGGCUAUCUUAUAAAAAAAUGAUUUUCAAAGGUGGUAACUCCAUUUAAAAGGUAAGAAGAAAACUAGGUCCUUUUCAAAGUCAUUGUAAGACCUAAUAUUGCUUGGGAUUUUCCGAAGGCUUUGUAGAAAAAGCCCUUAAUUCUAUUAAUUAAAAACUUUCACCAUUUAUUUUGAUACUAGUUUAAUAAUUGCCAUGAUUCAAUUCGCUGUUAUCUUAACAAGCUAACGUUUAUAUAUAUACGUGUGUGGAAAUCUUUCAGCUGUACACAGCCCACCUCUUAACCCUGGCAAAGUUCCAUUCAAUUGCGGUAGGGGUCAACGAUAUUGCGUACCUAGCCAACCACCAACAUCAACACCAUGUCUUCCUUACAAGCGUAAUUGUGGGCGGCGCCUUUAAGAUUAGAAGCAAGCAAAGUUGAGUGCUUAGAAGUAUGGAGAGCUUCUGCUGUCUUUAUCAAUAUGUAAAAUGAUGAGAACUAUUUAUGUGCGGAAAAUAAAUAAAGUUGAGUAUAUAAGGAUCCAGCUAGGCGAUAUUUAUGGAGUAACGUCGCCUACAAGUCUACAAUGGUACUAAGGAGGCCAAAAUUAACGUGGCUGGUAAUAUUAAGUAUAAAACUAAAAUGUAUGAUUUUUUUUUUCUGUGUAUUCAUAUAUUAUUACGGAUUAACUGUGUAAAAUCUUUAGUUUUUUUUUUCAAUUUGAUUCUUAAUUUUGUUUUUGAGAUUUAGUCCUGAUUGUGUAAAAUCUUUUUAAUUAGGUGGUUUUUUACCUUUAUACUUCAUGAAAAAAUAUAUAUAUAUAAACUCGGAUUGAUUUUUUGUUUUUGGUUGAUUUUGGUUUUUGAGAUAGUUUUUUGAAGUCAAUGAUAGAUUUAUCACGGUUCCUAAAAUAUUUUAUAGGUAUUUUAAGUAAACAAUUUAAAAAUGAAUUUUUAAAUCAAAAAAGUUAAGCCCUGAUUUUUCAGCCAUUGUGGUGGCUGAAAUAUAAACAAAUCAAACGACUUGUUCUCUGAUUUUUUUUUCAAAAAAAAUAGGACGAAUGACAUGCUACAAAAGAAAUAAGAGUCCAAUCACGGGGGCUUGCCAAUGCAGGCUCACUUGGGAAACCUAACAAAAUGGGCAAGGCGUCCGAACCCAACAAAGCUUGGCCUUUGUUUUUUUCUUGUAAAUUAUUAUUUCUUAAUUUUUUUAAAUGAAUGAUUUGUUUUGUUUUUUUCUCUAAUUUUUUUAUUUUUCAGAUUAUAUUUAUAAUAUGUGCAACCGUGCAUCGUGUUUUUUUCCCCUUUUAUUCUAUUCAAUAAAUUUAAUUUGUGUUUCCAUUUUUAUUAUUAUUUUCUUUAAUAAAAAAUUAUAAUAUCUUGAUGUAAACCUAAAUCUUAAUUUUCAAAGCUUUAUAAUUUUCGAAGCUUUAUACCUUAGAAAAUGAUACCUCAAUUUUGUACUUAUGAACUACGUUUUGCUUGGAAACCUCUGAAGGUGGAGCCUGUCACCGUGAGUCAACAACUAGUUUUCAGCUUUACUAAUGCUGAGUAUCUUCUUCCAUAUAUUAUUAAAGCAUAUUAUUAUCUUCCAUCAUAUGUGGAUAGAAUCCACUCUUACUUUUCAAAGGUGGCUUAGUCAAUAAUGUGAAGUAUUUGAUACGUUCGUUAAUUAUCUUGGGCACGGGAGGAAUAGUUCUCUUCAAGAAUAGUUCCCUUCGAAUGCUGCUAAAAAUCAUGGUGGCUAUAAGUAAGAGCGUUGGAUAGGACUUAGGAGGAGAGCAUAACCAUGUUAGUCACAUAUAUUUCCAAGAUGAAGGCCUUUCUUAUCGCAUGCAUUCUCUUAGCUACCAUCGUCUUCUCUCCCCUAUCCACUUGCACUGCUCGAGAAUUGGCCGAGCGAGGUGAGAUUUUAUCUCCAUCAUUAACUUCAGAAAAGCAGUUCAUUUUGUGUGUAAUCUCUGUGUACGCCGGCUUUUUUCAUGCACACAACUUUUUGUUAUAAAACUGAUGACUCAACCUUUACUUUUACUUCCAGCAUUUUAAUUAACUUAAGAUAAUCAUUUCAUGUUGUAUGUUAUUUAAUUAAUCUGUCGUGGGCUAUCUUAUAAAAAAAAAUGAUUUUCAAAGGUGGUAACUCCAUUUAAAAGGUAAGAAGAAAAUUAACUAGGUCUUUUUCAAAGUCAUUGUAAGACCUAAUAUUGCUUGGGAUUUUCCAAAGGCUUUGUAGAAAAAGCCCUUAAUUCUAUUAAUUAAAAACCUUUCACCUGUAUUUUGAUACUUGUUUAAUAAUUGCCAUGAUUCAAUUCGCUGUUAUCUUAACAAGCUAACGUGUGUAUACAUGUGUGCAAAUCUUUCAGCUAUACCCAGCCCAGGUCUUAACCGAGGCAAAGUUCCAUUCAAUUGCGGUAGGGGUCAACGAUAUUGCGUACCUAGCCAACCACCAACAUCAACACCAUGUCUUCCUUACAAGCGUGAUUGUGGGCGGCGCCUUUAAGAUUAGAAGCAAGCAAAGUUGAGUGCUUAGAAGUAUGGAGAGCUUCUGCUGUCUUUAUCAAUAUGUAAAAUGAUGAGAACUAUUUAUGUGAGAAAAAUAAAUAAAGUUCUCCAGUGGAUUAGAAGAAGCAAGCAAGGUUGUGUGCUUAAAAAGUAUGGACGGCUCAUAGUGUCUUUAUCAAUAUGUAAAAUGUUAUGUUGAUAUGGGAACUAUUUAUGUGAGAAAAAUAAAUGAAGUUCUUAGUGAGUUUCAUGGUAUCUUUUGAGAAUUAUUAUAUGAAGUUUAAUUAUGC